AGAGGGCCAGGUCGGGCCCUGGGCUGCCUCACCUUGCCAGUUAAGGGGUGCAAAAGAAAGGGCGGACCACGUCCAUGUGUGCUGUCAUCUUCAUCUCUGAAAAUUUCCAUCCUCCAGCAAUCGUCAGGAAGAGAAAUGAGCAUGAUGGGUUUAGGAAACCGCAAGUUUAAAAGGGCUGGAGUGCAGCCUGGGUGAUGAGUAGAAAGUUAAGAGGAGGCCAGAAGACCAUGAAGAGUCUCGAAUGCCACGUUGAGGCAUUUGAACCUAACGCAGCUUGGUUUGCAAAUUUUGAGGGGGCAGGAGGUAGAGAGACGACAGAGAUGAUUAGAAAAUCCUGAAUGAGUCCUUUCCUGAAAAAUUGUUGCACAACAAUAGACUUCUAAUAGUAUGAAAACCAAAAGAAGAGCAAGAUAGUCUCGGCUACACCACAGAAGAAUACGGUGCAGCCUGUGCGACUGAAGCCCUCCAGGUGAGAUGGAACUCAAUGACGGUCGUAACCAUGCCGAGCAAAGGCAGUGGAAAUGGCAAGGCCAGUGGAAGGGGCUGGAGCAGGAGGGAAGUCCUUCAUGAAUAUGCACAGACUAUCUCUGGAAGGAUAUUUAGGAAGCUGAUGACAGUGGUUGCCUCUCAAGAGGGAGACUGGUGGACUGGUGUUUGGAGUCAGGG
rnacentral:lncRNA from 1 species